AAUAUCCUGGGGUGUGCGAGGCCCCUCUUUAUUUUGAACCUACACUUUAAUUAAGGGAAUCCAAAAUCGCAGUGUGGAUGUCAGGCCGGCUCUGACCGGAAGGCUGAUGUACUGUUGAGGAUACCCACCUAGCUGUAUGCUAGGACUCAAAAACUGAGGGAACGGCAUCCCGGGAUUUUU
rnacentral:other from 1 species